rnacentral:rRNA from 1 species
GACGAACGCUGGCGGCGUGCCUAAUACAUGCAAGUCGAACGCUUCUUUCCUCCCGAGUGCUUGCCCUCAAUUGGAAAGAGGAGUGGCGGACGGGUGAGUAACACGUGGGUAACCUACCCAUCAGAGGGGGAUAACACUUGGAAACAGGUGCUAAUACCGCAUAACAGUUUAUGCCGCAUGGCAUAAGAGUGAAAGGCGCUUUCGGGUGUCGCUGAUGGAUGGACCCGCGGUGCAUUAGCUAGUUGGUGAGGUAACGGCUCACCAAGGCCAGGAUGCAUAGCCGACCUGAGAGGGUGAUCGGCCACACUGGGACUGAGCCACGGCCCAGACUCCUACGGGAGGCAGCAGUAGGGAAUCUUCGGCAAUGGACGAAAGUCUGACCGAGCAACGCCGCGUGAGUGAAGAAGGUUUUCGGAUCGUAAAACUCUGUUGUUAGAGAAGAACAAGGACGUUAGUAACUGAACGUCCCCUGACGGUAUCUAACCAGAAAGCCACGGCUAACUACGUG